rnacentral:rRNA from 1 species
UACGUAGGGUCCAAGCGUUGUCCGGAUUUAUUGGGCGUAAAGAGCUCGUAGGCGGCUUAGUAAGUCGGAUGUGAAAACUCGGGGCUCAACCCCGAGACGCCAUCCGAUACUGCUGUGGCUUGAGUCUGGUAGGGGAACACGGAAUUCCUGGUGUAGCGGUGAAAUGCGCAGAUAUCAGGAGGAACACCGAUGGCGAAGGCGGGUCUCUGGGCCGAUACUGACGCUGAGGAGCGAAAGCGUGGGGAGCGAACAGG